rnacentral:sRNA from 1 species
ACGGGUUAUCCCUAAGGUAACUUAAUCUUAUAAUCAUAAAAUAUGGAUCACAAAAACAUUAAUUAAUGAAAUAAAAUAAUAGAAGUUAUUUAAAUUCUACAGUCACCCCAACAAAAUAGUUCAUCUACUUAAAACAAAUAAAUCACCAAAUUAUUAAAAUAUAAAACUAUAAAGAUCUAUAGGGUCUUCUCGUCCCACAAAUAAAUUUAAGCUUUUUAACUCAAAAAUUAAAUUCUCCUCAUUAAAUCAAAGAAAGUUAAUACCUCGUCCAACCCUUCAUUCCAGCCCUCAAUUAAAA